rnacentral:misc_RNA from 1 species
AUGAAAUUAUAAUCCGGCGAGGGGAAAGGCGGAGAGUUGUAGCUGGCCUCUAGGGGCAUGUGCACGCGCUCUCUUCCGGACCUUUCGCCGUAUGGGCGCGGGGCGACCCGCGUCUUCAUAUACCUCUUCGUGUAGAAAGUCUUUGAAUGUUUUACCAUCAUCGAGUCGCGACUUCUAGGAGACGCGAUUCUUUGAGAAAAAAGUUAUUA